rnacentral:rRNA from 1 species
UACGUAGGGAGCGAGCGUUGUCCGGAUUCAUUGGGCGUAAAGAGCUCGUAGGCGGCAUGGCAAGUCGGGUGUGAAAACUCCAGGCUCAACCUGGAGACGCCACCCGAUACUGCCAUGGCUAGAGUCCGGUAGGGGACCACGGAAUUCCUGGUGUAGCGGUGAAAUGCGCAGAUAUCAGGAAGAACACCCCGUGGCUAAGGCGGCUCCCUAGUACGGUACUGACGCUGAGACGCGAAAGCGUGGGGAGCGAACAGG